rnacentral:lncRNA from 1 species
AAUGUAUUUGACCUGUAUUUCCUCACCUCCAAGUUAGAUGAAUAUAUUCAUUUUCUAGGGCUGUCAUAAAAAAAUACCACCCACUGGGUGGCUUAAACAAUUGUGAGAAACCUAUUUUUUCACAAUUCUAGAGGCUAGAGUCACAUUCUGAGGCACUGAGGGUUAGGACUUGAACAUUUAAAUGUGGAAGAAGGGCACACAAUUGCAUCCAAAUUGUGGGUUCAUAACCAAGCACACUGUAUGUAUUUUACAUAAAUGAAUGACAGUAAAUGCCCAAGAAGUGCUCUCACACAGAUAUGGGUAAGGAUGCACCCCUGCCCUGGCAAUAUGGGCCCAGGGGACAUACAUCUGCCUCUGGGCACUUUAGUGACUAUAUAUGUACCAAGACGACCUAAAUGGGUCAAGAAACUUUGUCGAUCACAGAUUUCACCAAUUAAAGAUUAUAUAAACUACACUUGCAGCAAUUCUAACAUUUUCUCCCAAGUAAACCACUGUAAAAAGUAGCAAGUUGCCCUGAAAUUUUUAUCAAAUAAGAUAAAUCUUUUACACCAUUUAUACAAAUGUCAGUUUCAACAUUAUCUUUUUCACACUCCUUAUGCAUAAAGCAAUAAGGAAUGGAAAGUACAGAGAUUAAUUUAGGUAACAAUUACCAUAAUUCACAAUUGCAUUAGCACCUAUUAAGGUUCAUUGUUCUGUGGAAAUUUUAAUGAUACAUUCCUGAGUGAAUAAAAGCAGAAGAUGAUUGGAAAUAAAAUUGUUUCUAUGUAUGCUGACAGGACUGCUGAGUGUAAUUAUACAUUUCCGAGGCGACCUGUUUGGAGUUUACUCCAUAAUUUUAUGUAAAUGUUAAAUAACUUCAUGUGUUCUUCCUCCCGGGUUAAAUGCUAAUUUGUGUUAUUCCAACAAGGGGUGUGCUGCAGGGUUAUUAACGGACUUGAUCUGCCAAUGAAGCUGGCUUCUGAAAAAUAGCUCUACACACUUCAAAACAAUAGAGGUGUCUAUGGUUUUUUCUUCAUUUUACAUCUUAUUGGUGGGCUGCCAAACGUUUAGUUCUGAAAACAGCUCUUUAUUCUCAAAAUCUGCAGCAAAAACCCAAGAAGUGAGAAAUUAUUCUCUUAAAUAUAAUCAAGUUCAUUCAUAGUGUCGGUUUGCAUCAACUUCCUCAGUCCCAAAAGAAAACAGGUAAAGAGAAAACCUUAAAAGACUCCUAGGUAUAAUCAUAUAAUAUGUAGAUAUACAUGGCUCUCUAUGUGCAGAUUUCUCCCAAUUCCUAGAUAGAAACGAAAGCAGAGCCAGCACAUAGUAGGUGCCUAAGUAUGUGCUGACUGUUGGAAAACUCCCAAACUUUAUAAAUACUCAUGAAACAAAUGAGAUAAAGUCUGAUCAAGCACAGUAGACCUGUUUUUGCCUCAGCAGAAAUGCUUGCCCUUAUUGCCCCAAACUAACAGAAAAUCAGAAAUGACACAGAUGGAAAGGGGGAAAGAUAUAAAAAGCGGCACAUUCAUUUCAAAGAGAUGAAAAAUAAUAGCACUUUUUCCUCCAAUUUCAUUCUCAGAUCCCAAUGUGAAACAAUCAAAAUGUUCUGCUUUAACACUGUAAGAUACAUUGGAGAGGAGGUUGCAAAAUAUUCGAAUCAUUUGCUUUGGCCUCUGAGUGCCACCAGGGAGGAAUUGUGCGCUGUGAGUUUUGAAGGAUCCCGUGCCGUCAUCUGGUAAGCAAACACACACAGUGAUUUCUCUCAAAGACAGACAAGGCAGAAACUAGUUCUGGUCACCCAUACUGCCCAACUCCCAGGCUCGUAUCCUCUCUUCCACACACAGUCCAACCCCGGGGUGACCAGGCUGUAAUAUCAUCCUUGUUUUUCCAGGGAUCAGUGUUGUGAGGUAAAAAGAACAGCAGUUAGGGGUUCAGAGGAGUUAGUGUGAGUCUCAGCUCUCUUGUCUGAACUGUACCAGACCUUUAGCAAGGACACGGAAACGAUCAAAACAGAGUUUGUUAUUAUGAAAUAGCGGCAAGGAUCUGGUGAUCUGGAAUGGACUGAAAACACAGGGCAAAAAAAAAAAAAUCCUAUCUUUAUCUGCCGAGGCUCUCCUGGAAUUGGUUCAAAUUUUGGUCACAGAAGAAACUGGGAAUGGGAAUUUGUAAGAUGAGAUAUAAUUAAAAGGCUUAACAUUGAUUUGAAUUCUUAGAAACAAUUAUUAACAAAGCAUUACGGAACUGCUCUGAUAGCUAUCCAACAUUAUGUGUAUGUAUAUCUAUAUUGUCCAAAAUUGGCAUAACGUGUAUUAUGAUUUGCUUUAUUUGUUUGCACAAUUUUUAGUUCCACCAAACUCUGGAGACUGAUACACUAUGCUUCACAAUUACUCAGUCAUAUCAAUGAUUUCUCUUCCUCAUAUGUCAAUAUCUAAAGUGUCAUAGCAUCCAUCUCUCUAUCAGUACAAAUGUUUGUCAAGUCCCAUUCCUCAAACACAAUGUCAUCAUGAGCAUUGUCAUCAAAAUCACCAUCAAUAAACAUUAACUGAUUUUCCUCUACUAGGCAAAGGCUUUAUUUCUAAAGGAGAUUUUGUAUCUAUUUGCUGCAGACCAAAAAUGACAAUAAAGGUCUACAGUUGUGUGAACUCCAAAGAUUGUUGCCUGAAUGGCAUUUAGGUUCCCAACUUGUAUUUGACUUUCCUUUGUGAGAUCCUAUUUCUCCAAAAUCUCUUUGCCUCUCUCCAUUCCCAACGUGCUUAUGCCUCCUGUUCUACUAACGCAAAAACAUGUUUUAUAGAGAGUUUCCUCCAUCUCAAGUUUUGCCAACUUUAUCCCAGUUUCACAAACACAUAUACAGAGAUGUCACAUGUAGUGAUAACAUGGCCUAGAGUAAGAUAAAACAUAAGCCAAUAGUGGAUAAAUUUUAAAACAAGGCACUAUUUUGGUGAUUCAGAUAGCAGAUGUCAACUCAGAAUACAUAGUGACACAUAUCAGGAGGCAACUGCUGUUGAGAAUUUAGGAACUACAAAUAACUAUUGAAUCAUUUCCCAAACAACUCACCAUGCUAAAGAAAAAGUCAAAAAUAGAAGUACAUCCAGUACUUCAGUGUGCCUCCAAAGUUAGGGGCACUGAUUAUACUUAUUUUUACUCUUAAACACUCUUUUCCUAAUAUAAGCUAAUGUCUGUGUUUAUUGCCACUAGACCUAAAAGUGUUCCUUCCUGUCAAUAUCUCUCUCUUUACCCACUUCAUUUUCCAACAAAGUACUUAAAUUCUUAAAAACUUAAUAAAAAUGUAUUUUUAAUCAGUCUGUCUUUCCCAUUAGAACCAAGAUGAAUGAGUACAGGGAUAAUCUCUGCCUUGGUUAUAACUGUACUUCCUGGACAAGAAGAGGCUCUGGCAUGUAGCAUAUGCUUGAUAAUAUUUUUGAAAGAAUUAGCUGAAGGAUGCAUACUACAGAGUGA